AAUUACAUAGUCAAUUAUGACAUUGAAUUGCAAAUUCAAGGGUGAAGUUUGUUCUGUAAUUU
rnacentral:tRNA from 1 species